GUUGAAUGUCAUGAAUAAUUGAUUGCUAGCUUGAUUGAGAAAUUAGUUGACUGAGAACCAUGAACUUGUGUGAUCAUACGACUGGUUUAAUGCCAUUAAUGUGUAGUUACAUGAUUGAUUGUGAUAUGCAUGGUUGUUUGUUUGGCAUGUAUUCUUUGAUAAUUUCUAAUUAAUUUUUCAUAUGAUGAUCAUUGUAAUUUGUAACCUUAUUGGAUGGAUAUAUUUGUGGCGUGU
rnacentral:lncRNA from 1 species